GGGGCACAACCAGGCAGGGCCGAACGCUGUACACACAGUGCUGAGGAGGGCGGCUCUUUCUGCUCUCAAAUCGUGCUCCUUUUGUUGCCUUUCAACCAAAUAAAGGGAGAGAGUCGUUUUUAAAAGGCCUGAAAAGUCAACGGUUACAUUAAAAAAAAAAACCCCACUUAAAAAACCAAAGUGAUGGCGGUUUGGUCCCAACAAGUCAACACUGAGAUCUUUAUUCACAUGCUCCAUUGCUUCUUACUUCAAGAACCAAAAAUAGUUUCCAAAAUGAUCAUUUAAUUGAUGUUCCUACACAAAGGCCUAAAAGGAGAGUACGGAUUUAAAAAAAAAAAACAAACUGAAUACACAACGGGGGAGAAAAAGGGGGAAGGGGUGAGGAAACCCCGAGCUGCACUACUGCAAAUUAUAAAAGAGAAACAAAAACAUCAACUAAAGGUGGGCACAAACCCCAUUCCACGGCGCCUUCAAAGCCCGUUACCAAACAAACCCCCCAACCAAACUGAAGAACAACCAUUCUGUAAGGGCACGGACAGAACAGCCGGAGCCUCACCCAGCACUCGACCUCAUUCAGUCCACAAUGUCUUUGGGAAGAUGCGCUCCGUGAGCGGACCCAAGCAGAAAUGAUGCGUCAGUUCUCACCCCCGGGGAGGGGGGCAGAGCUCUGACAGCGCAGGGAACGUCGGGGUUAUGUCAGAGCCCUUCGAGGGGCUCCGCUCCGGGGGCCGCCCUGAGGCCCGGCACGGUGAGUGCCGCUCCCGGCACCGCGGCUAUUCGGCCGCCGACUGCAGGCUGUCUUUGUCCUCUCUGUUCUCCGUCCCGCUCUCAUCGUCUUCGAUUUCUCCUUCUUCGCCGCUGAAUUUGUCGUGAGCCCAUUUGGGGCUGGUGCUCGACUUCCUGAACAUGAAACGCCCUCGGCCUCGGGGGAAGGCACCGCGGCCACGGCCUCUGCUCACCCACUUCUCCGCGCCUUCGCCCUCGCGGUCAUCGUGCAGGUAGUACUUCUUGCUCUUCGGUGUGUACUCAGGAUCCCAAUCCUCUUCCCUGCUUCUCUUCUGGAAGUCAUUGUUGCCACCACUGUUGCUGUUAUUGUUGCCUGAAAAGUUGCCUCGGCCCCAUCCUCUCCCCCUCGCUCUGAAUUGCUGUAACAACAAAACAUGGAAGGGAAAUCAAACAGCUGUGACAGCAGUGCUCCUUCAGAGGCACCAAGAGAUGCAGCACCGCUUCCCCAGCAUGCCAGGAACACCUCUAACCCAUCACUGAAUUAAAAGCUCACGAUAUUUUAUGGCCUUCAAGCCCAACUGAUGACACUAUCCAAUACAGCUUAUUGAAAGAGAGGUGUUUCCUGAGCACCCAAAAGAAAGCAUCCAACACACACAGACUUCUGUGUACCAAGGGCACGAACGCUGAGCCUCCCCCAGCCUGCCCCAUCACGCUGCUCAGCCAUCACUGAUGUACAGAAGCUUCCAGGCUAUACUCUGCACCACGCACCUCAAGCUCAGCUGCCCAGCCUACAUUCCCAACAGCCCAGUUUGUGCUUCAGGUCUGCAGCCAUCACAUUCUGGUUCAUCCACAACCAAAGACUUUCAGGCUUCUCCUUUACAGAACACUUUGACUGCAGAACACCACACAGUGGCUGCUUCUGACUGCACUGCAAUCGACACACGGGGUGGGGAAGCACUUACAAAGGUCCCUCGGGCUCUUCCUCUCUCAUUUGGACCCGUGAACUCCUUAGUUCCAAGUCGGGACUUGUCAAAGCCUGUGGUGCUUUCCUCCCUCUCCUCAGUCUCCUCGGGAUACUCCUCUGCUUUCACUGAAUGAGAGGACCGUGAGGACGACGAGCUGGAUCUGGACCUCUCACGCACCCUUCGGUGUUUCCUGUUUCAGUGAUGGGAAAGAAGGGUGGGGGGGAACAGCAUCUGGAUUAAUCACUCAGCAGUAACCUGUUGGCUAAUCAACUAUUUUAUCAGUCCCCCAUCAGUACAGUGCUUUCCUUUUCCUACUAUGAAAAGUCACAGUAACAGCUCAACAUCAGCUGUGACGUGCAGAUCUAGCAGAGGUCCCAAGGCUUCUCUGACAUGAUUUUGCUGCUUUUAAAGCACUGACACUGCCCACAAGGAGACAAGCACGCAUUUGAGACCAACAGUCUAAUAGAAAAGGACUAAAUUAAACUUGAAGCAAAGUCAUUUAAACACUGCCAUUGCCUAUGACUGGAACAAGAAUAAAAAGGGACUUACCCACUGUGACACACGGAGCCUUCCCAUUUACCUUUAACAGUUACUUUACGUUCCAGAUAGACACAAUGGCAUCAAGAAGACACGCAGGGGAGUAACUCACACCACUGCAGCAGUUAUGUCACAGGUGUACAACCACAUACAUGCGAGGUUGUCUCCAACUUUACCAGCAGAAACAUGAAAUGCAGAACGAAAGGCUACGGGGUUUCCUACAUACUUUUUCUUUGAGCUUUUGUGACUUUUCUCCGUUUUCUCAGCUGAUCUUUCCCUUGAGUGACUCGAAUCUCUGGACUCCACCGACUCUCUGGAUUUAUCACGUUUAAGAUCUCUUUCCUUAUGUUUUUUACGGCGCUCGAUAUCAAGGCGCAGGUCAACAGGGUCAUCCUUGUAUUUCCCUUCAGCCUACAAGGGCAGGGAUGGGGAGAGUUUAACACACAGACCCACAGCACCCCCAGUUCAGCACCAUUACUUUACUACUGACUGCACAAACUUGUGGAGAGCAGGGGUUUAUCUGAAUGCUACUCAAUGCUCCAUUUUAAGAUGCAAAACGAUGCACUAUCAAACUCAGUUUUUAUUUGUCAGACUUCAAUCUUCCUACUUUUUUUUUUAAAAAAAAAAAACUUUUACCCUCUUUAAAACAGCAUUAGAAUAGCCUGGUCAUAGGGGAACACUGACACUUAUUGUACACCACAGCCAUCGAGAUGAGAGCAACUUGGAAACCCAAUCCGUGUGAGUGUGUGUGGCAGAACUGCAGCGUGCCAGGAAUGCUGGAAGGCCUGGGGACACCUGUCACAGGGCAGCAGCAUCCAGCAGGGCAGAAGGGCUCUACAAACUUAAGGAGAAGCAAAAGCUGUUUGCCAGCUGGAGACACCUGGGGCAGCAAUCCUUCAGUGAGCGUGCUAAGAGAUGGAGGCCACUGGAAAUGCAGUGAUCAAGGCUGUUUACUUGGAAGAAUCCCACUGAUGUGUUGUCUUUAAUACCCCUGUCAAGAAGGUUUGCUCUGUGGCAGAUACCACCCAGAGCAUGGCUUUCCCUUGUCUAGGGGCACCACAUGGAAGGUGCCAAAAAUCCAUCCAGCUCUACAAAAAGCACCCAGCUCGUGGUCUCUGUGUGUCUGUUAACACAGUCAGCUACACAAUCUGGGAAUGCUUGCUCGAGUUCAACUGAAAUGGCUGCCUAAACGAGCAGCAGGCUGCAAUGGUUUCUUUAGGAAAGGUGUAGCUGCGUUACCUGGGGGUGCUCUGAGAGCUGCAGCACUUGGAUGAGGUUCUGCUCUGAGUGCACAACGUGAGCAGCAAACUGACAGUGCUGUGGUUUUGCCAAACGUUUACCCGAGCAGCAGUGCUUUGGUGGCAACCUGCACACCACGUCGCUAGCAACAACACAGCCCCCACAGCAACUGCUGCUCCAUUUACACAGCACUAAUCUCGGGAACUGUAUGACUUGAUACACAACAUCAAUCAGAUUAAUCGCCCUUGAAUUAAAUACAAAAGGAUUAGUAAUUCUCUAGCUAUUAAACUUUUUACUUACAUGAGUUUCUAAACACUUUUUUUGUUUAAAUAAAAAUGUCAAAUAACGCAGGAGUGGGAGCAGGCCUUUUGGUUGGGUUUUUUUGCUCUUCUACUUUCCCCAGGCAAAGAGCUUUAAUUUCUACUCUGAGAAUACAACUGCUCCCAACACGGUGGAUGGCAGAUAAGUGACAAAAUCAGCAGCAGCUCCCUUAUGUGGUGCAGCAAACACCUAUUGGGUUUGUGAGGGCACGUCUGUUUCACGGAAGGCUGGCGAGCUGUUUGGAAACCACGUUUAUAAUACACUCUGCCAAGCUGAUGCUCAGAGUUCAGGCCCAUCAAAUCCAUCUCACCAUCGUCCAUGUCAAGCCACAAGUGUUUGGAAAAAAUCGAAAACAAAUAUGAAACAAGUAAGGUUUCAGCACGACUGUUCAAAAUCUCUUCAAUGUAAAUAUGUACGAAGGUGAAUACACAAAGGUUAAAAUCCCAAACAUUGUGUUAAGCCAUUUCUAAGUGGUUUACGGUAAGCAUCAUGGCUUAACAUGAGCUACAGCUAACACACUCCAUUCCCAAAGGUCUGCUCUACGACAACAGGUGCUGAAUGUUAACUAACAGCAAUCAACAGAAACGGUACAGCAAGUUGUUAGAACAAAUUUUAUCACCCUCUUAAUAGUGUAUCUUGUUUAGCUAAGUAUUUAGUUUUACUCUCCUCUUUUUGACAUGCAUGUCUUUCUGAAAACAUGGUUGGCAAUAUCGCAUGUAUACAAUUGAUUUAAUAAUACUUACAAGCAGACAAAUAUCACAAAAAGUCUCUUCUCUCAUCAUGGGCACUUGUUCCAAAAAUCCUCUCAUUUUUCUCAAGCUCACCUCAAUUGACUUUGGGGUCAUUUACCAUAGUCUAACCACUUCACAAAGGUUGUUGAUACAUUUUUAAUAAAAAUUAACCCUUUGUAGUUCAUUUUUAGAAUUAUGCCCAUCCUUAAAAGAAAAACACAAACUUAAGUAGAGAGUAAUUUAAACAAAAACAUCACUGUUAAGUUCAUGCCCAAUGCACUCAUUUUGUUGAAUUAAACUAAUCAGAGUGACAGUUCACCUUGAAGCCGGGAUCUCUGGAACUUUUCGAUUCCUCUUGAGAGAAUCCAUGUUUUCUAAAAGUACUGGGAGAAAUAUCUAUCCUCCUGUGAAUUUCAGGGCUCUUUUUAUUUUUAGCUGCUUCUUGUUCCAUUCCUUUCUUUAGGUAUUUGGUAAAGCGUUCGUUCAGCGUCAUUCCUGACGAUCCAAAGUGAUGCUCUGUUGGAGGGUUUGAGUAAACAAUGCCACAAUAUUAAUACCAUUUGUGUAAAAAGAAAGAGCUCGUCAGUCCUACAGCUUGGUCAAAUCUAACAAUGGUUGUCUUCCACCACCUCAAGGGAAGUUUUACAGAAGGUACAGCCAGACUCUUCUCAGAGCUACAUGAUAAAAGGACAAGAGAGGAUUACCACAGGCUACAAGAGAAGUUCUGACCACAUAUAAGGAAAGCACUCCCCCCACACCCCCUCCCCCCAACUGAACGUGGCUGAGCACUGGAACAUUUAAGCUCUAUACCACAGACUUUCAGAAUUC
rnacentral:lncRNA from 1 species